UAGAGUAAAAGCAGGGAUUGGAACUCAGG
rnacentral:piRNA from 1 species